GGGGAAUAUUGCACAAUGGGGGAAACCCUGAUGCAGCGACGCCGCGUGGAGGAUGAAGGCCUUCGGGUUGUAAACUCCUUUUGUAGGGAAAGAUAAUGACGGUACCCUGCGAAUAAGCCACGGCUAACUCUGUGCCAGCAGCCGCGGUAAGACAGAGGUGGCGAGCGUUGUUCGGAAUUACUGGGCUUAAAGGGCGAGUAGGCGGUGGGACAAGUCUGAGGUGGAAUCCUAUGGCUUAACCAUAGAACUGCCUUAGAAACUGUUUUACUUGAGUCAGUGAGGGGAGGGCGGAAUUCCCGGUGUAGCGGUGAAAUGCGUAGAUAUCGGGAGGAAGGCCGGUGGCGAAGGCGGCCCUCUGGCACUGUACUGACGCUGAGGCGCGAAAGCGUGGGGAGCAAAC
rnacentral:rRNA from 1 species